AGAGAAAUAUGCAUAUAUUGCUUGGUUGAUUUCCUCGCGUGCGGGACGUAUGCGAAGCCGAAAGUGCACAGUAACGCGAAUACCUCGCGCUCAUGAAUAAUGCACAAGUUUUGCACGCGCGCUUCCACAACGGAAACGCAGCCGAUAGUUUAACGCGCGACGAGUUCACGGCAACAAACGGCCCCAGUUGUCCUUUCAGCCACGAGAGUGACGCGAAUGUUACCGUAGUCGGGAAUAAUUCACUGCUUUCUAGCCGCCGUGUGCGCGCACAAGUAUCCACACACGGUGAAGCCGGUCGUUCGUCGGUCGUUCGCGCCGUGGAACGUUUUGCAGGAAGCGAACGCCGGGCAUGCCGAAGCGGCAGAUGCGAAGCGCUUCGCCUUCGGCGUCGUGACACGAGAGAAAGUACCGCGGAUUGGAUAAUCCGUAAAAAGGAAAGUGCUCGCACUUACGUUUACCGUGGCGGGCGAGAGGUGGCUCUUUUUUUGGACGAGACUUACGUAAGCUUUCUUGAGCAAACUUUCGUUUCGAGCAACGAACGCGCUCUUCGAAACGUGCGCCCGAUGAAACUCCAAGUAAUUUCACGGCGACACACUUAUGAUCUCACGGUGAGACCACUGUGCUCCAAAGGGUUAAUUCACCGCCGGAUGAAUCCAGGGUUGGAAACACCUCCUCCGAGGGCAUCUCCGUAGCACUGCGCGUCACCGUCAGGAGAGACCUCCGAAGAGCAGAUUCGGACGGAGGAACGACGAGCCGUCCGGUCGCGUCAAGGAUCGCGAGUUGCGAAAUUCGAGAUGUUGGAAUCCACGGGCGUGUCGCGCAGAUUAAUUCACUGGGUACACACUUUAGAGCGAGCGUGUUCCGUGCGAGGGCCGCGCGCUGCCAGCGAGGAGGAGAAAUACGAGCGGCGCUACCGCGGUCUGCUGAAGUCGCGGAAUGACUGUGAAUGACUCGAAACCACGGCGGCGAGCCUAACGAGUUGUCAGUGAAAGUUGGCCGAUCGCUUGCAGGUCUACGCGCGGGAUUCGACGGGGCUCGCCCGGCGUUGUUGCCCCGCGAUUCGAACCAACGUCGUGUCGCAGCGCACUGCGCGGAGAACGUCCGCUUCCUCGCCGAGCACUUCGUUCUUGUUACUUAGUUUCGGCGGCAGUCAUAUCGCGGAAGUUUCGCGUGUUCGCAGUUUUUUGCCCGUUAACUCGGCGUAUUUGCUCGGGAGAGUAGGCGAGUGGAAGAAAGUGACACUAUCGAUUUGAACGCCGCGUUCCUCUUCAAGACAGAAUAAACAUAAAGGGAAAAUAUAUCGGGUGAACAGAAACUCUUUAGUUAAUCCUCCGAUUCCAGGUAUACUGGCGUGUACCACAACUCCCAUGGGAGCGUAAAGUUGUGAAUAAUAAAAUUAUAAAGAUUGAAUGAAAAUAAAAUCAAUAGAAACUCUUAAAAUUAAA